AUGAACUCCAAGCAGUCAGCAAUGGCCUGGUCGGCAUGGAAGGAAGCCGAGCUCUCCCUCCCCCGCAGUGGCGCCGGCCGUCCCGCUGAUCUCGGCGCGGGCCGCCUCCUGAUCCCAGGGCAGCACCUGAGCUCCUCCAUGCACCGGACGACGAGGCCGGCGAGCCGGAACAGCCGCACCCGCAGCCGGAGCAGCGACCCCAGCCGGACGUGCCGCACCCGGCGCCCUCGCCGGCCCUGCCUCGCCUCAUGGACCAUCGCCAUCGGGUGGCUGCACCUGGUACCUUUACUACUACUGGCCUGA
rnacentral:rRNA from 1 species